rnacentral:lncRNA from 1 species
CUGUGUACCUCCGAGAGAGAGGAGUCACUUUCAUCAGACCUAUAGUGAAAGAGUUAGAAUUAUGAGAGAAAGAAUACAGAUGUCAACAGAAUGAGUAAAACAUGUUCAAAUAGGAAAACCAUGACUUUGAAUGGUAAACUGUAGAAGAGUAACAUCCUUCUGAAUGAGAUGGGUACAUAUGAAUACUGAAGAGUCAUAACCAGUCUGGCCAGAGCCCAGAGGAUCUCACUCAGAUGGUCACCAACUCAGGCCCUCUUCAGGACCAAGUUUGGUCUGAAGCAUUAUGGUUACCUGGGCAGCAGGACACACAAACAACUCACUGUUGUACUCUCAACUCUGAGAACACAACUCUAGCCCAAGGUUAGCUUCUUUUCUUAUCACAAUAGCUUUAAAGCCAAAGACAAAACAAAACUCCCAAAUACCCUAAAGUUAAUCUAUAUCAUUGUAAAGUUUCACAGUCUCACUUCACUGGAAGUUAACCAAACAGUUGGAUUUUUAAAAGUCUUCCUUUAAAGUUAUUCUUUUAAAAAGUUUUUUAUAUAUAUAGCUUCUGUAUACUAAUUAUAUAUUUAAAAAUUUAACAUUGCAGCCCCUGAGACCGCCGUCCUUAGAAAGGCCUGCUUGGAAAACUGGACUUUGGCUGACAUCUAAAAACAGCUCUCAGAGCGUUCCCAGUCAACUGUUAGCCAAUAAAAGUGGCUC